UGCGUGUAUGCAGGUCAGAAAGAGAACUUCUUAACAUAAAAGUGCAAGAAGACAUAUGAACAGAAGCUGAAGAGGAUUAUUGUCUGAAAGGUAGGGACUAAAGAGGAAUCUUGAAGAAAGGUUUCUGGAGAUUGCUCUCAGGCACAGCUGGGGAGAGCAUGAUGAGCAGCACAGGAAGCACCAAGCCUGCGAUGAAAAAGAGAGCAAAGAGGGGAUAUAUGCAAAUGGGGAAAAAAGGAGCAAGUGUACCUUCCCCACACACUGUGUACGAGCACCCUGUGGUCAGCAAAUGCCAGUCCAGCUGUUCCCAUUGGAUGCAAUCACUGGCAGAACUGGGUUUGGAGGAACCAAAGAGCCUGUGCUUUCCUUUCCAUCCAUGAAACAAGCUUUUGGCUUCAAAACUUAAAUAAGAAGCUCACUGAUAGAUUUCCAUGUUGUAUAAAUUAAUGCAAGAAGAAAGGGAAAGUAUGCACAGCAACAGAGGGGUUUAUAGCCCUGAAGGAGCAAUGAAAGGAGAUGGACGUUUCUGCCCGCUGCAUUUAUUGGGAAAGGAGAGGUAAUUACACCGUGGUUGUGUUGCUGCCAAGUUAUAAUGUGGAUAGGAUGGUGUCUUUCAAGGAGACUAUCAAAUGGUUCAGUAGCAUGGAUAACCAACUGUGGUUUUUUCUGCAUGAUGACACCAGGCCAUAAUAACUGGUUGGGAAUAACGAUGCUAUAUUUUUCCAUUAAAUAAAGUUUUAUUUGUAGGACAUUGACUGAUUUUUAAAGUAACGUAGACUUUCCUUACCACUAAAGCCCACAUAUUUAACACACAGCCAAACUGUUCUCUCUGAAACCACAUUAUGCAUGUUGUAACAAUACUCUCCCACAGACGAUGAACACUGAGG
ensembl:lncRNA